rnacentral:rRNA from 1 species
AAUGAACGCUGGCGGCAGGCCUAAAACAUGCAAGUCGAACGCCUGUAGCAAUACAGGAGUGGCGCACGGGUGCGUAACACGUGGGAAUAUGCAUAUUGGUACGGAACAGCUCCGGGAAACUGGAAUUAAUACAGUAUGGUCCCUUCGGGGCAAAGAUUUAUCGCCAAUAGAUUAGGCCGCGGUGGAUUAGCUAGUUGGUAGGGUAAUGGCCUACCAAGGCGACGAUCCAUAGCUGGUCUGAGAGGACGAUCAGCCACACUGGGACUGAGACACGGCCCAGACUCCUACGGGAGGCAGCAGUUAGGAAUAUUGGACAAUGGGCGCAAGCCUGAUCCAGCCAUGCCGCGUGAGUGAUGAAGGCCUUCGGGUUGUAAAACUCUUUAGCCGAUGAAUAUAAUGACUGUAGUCGGAAAAUAAGCCCCGGCUAACUUCGUGCCAGCCGCCGCAGUAA